UACGUAGGCAGCAAGCGUUGUUCGGAAUUACUGGGCGUAAAGCGUGCGUAGGCGGUGCCUCAAGUUUGGUGUGAAAUCUCCCGGCUCAACCGGGAGGGUGCGCCGAAAACUGAGGUGCUCGAGUGUGGGAGAGGUAGGCGGAAUUCCUGGUGUAGCGGUGAAAUGCGUAGAUAUCAGGAGGAACACCGGCGGUGUAGACGGCUUACUGGACCAUAACUGACGCUGAGGCACGAAAGUGUGGGGAGCAAACAGG
rnacentral:rRNA from 2 species